CGGGAUCCAUCCCGGCUCCCUGUUCCCGCAGAGACCUCGGCCAAGGAGGGGCUCCUGCUCUGGUGCCAGCGGAAAACGGCUCCGUACAAGAACGUCAACGUCCAGAACUUCCACAUCAGCUGGAAGGACGGGCUGGCCUUCAACGCCCUCAUCCACCGGCACCGCCCGGAGCUGAUCGAGUACGACAAGCUCCGGAAGGAUGACCCCGUCACCAACCUCAAC